rnacentral:tRNA from 1 species
GCCUCUAUGGCGUAGUGGUAGCGCGUCGCACUUGUAUUUUCAUUCCAGAUACAAAAAAGGGAAAAGAAAACCAAAUAAACUCAAUCAUCAUUAUCAAUAUGAUUGUGUGAUAUGCGAAGGUCCCUAGUUCGAUCCUGGGUGGAGGCA